AGAACGAACGCUGGCGGCAUGCCUAAUACAUGCAAGUCGAACGAACUCUUCGGAGUUAGUGGCGCACGGGUGCGUAACGCGUGGGAAUCUGCCCUUGGGUUCGGAAUAACAGUUGAAAACGACUGCUAAUACCGGAUGAUGACGAAAGUCCAAAGAUUUAUCGCCCAGGGAUGAGCCCGCGUAGGAUUAGCUAGUUGGUGAGGUAAAGGCUCACCAAGGCGACGAUCCUUAGCUGGUCUGAGAGGAUGAUCAGCCACACUGGGACUGAGACACGGCCCAGACUCCUACGGGAGGCAGCAGUAGGGAAUAUGGACAAUGGGCGAAAGCCUGAUCCAGCAAUGCCGCGUGAGUGAUGAAGGCCUUAGGGUUGUAAAGCUCUUUACCCGAGUAUGAUAAUGAACAGUAUACGGAGAAUAACGCCCCGGACUAACCGUCCGUGCCAGCCAAGCCGACGGU
rnacentral:rRNA from 1 species